rnacentral:rRNA from 1 species
GCAGUAGCCGCGGGAAUACGGAGGGUGCAAGCGUUAAUCGGAAUUACUGGGCGUAAAGCGCACGCAGGCGGUCUGACAAGUCAGAUGUGAAAUCCCCGGGCUUAACCUGGGAACUGCAUUUGAAACUGUCAGGCUGGAGUCUUGUAGAGGGGGGUGGAAUUCCAGGUGUAGCGGUGAAAUGCGUAGAGAUCUGGAGGAAUACCGGUGGCGAAGGCGGCCCCCUGGACAAAGACUGACGCUCAGGUGCGAAAGCGUGGGGAGCAAACAGGAUUAGAUACCCGGGUAGUCCCUGUCUCUUAUAC